rnacentral:rRNA from 1 species
AUGGCUAUGAGAAUCCUCUCUCUGACCUCUAGCUCUUCUGGUUGUGAAAGAAAUUGGAGCGCCUUUGAAUAGAUACAUACCAAGAGAAGAAAUAGGCUCACAACGGAAUGAUGCAAUAAUUUGGUCUUCAUUAGGUUCAAUAAUAGAAUGUUGUCUAGGAAACAAAAGCUCUUGGAGAAGAAGAAAUGGGAUGUGCUCAUCAGCACCGAUGCUACCGAAGCUCAAGGAUUUCUAUUUGAAGGAGGGGAUGAUCAUGCAAAUGUUGAUGGAUGGAUGAGCUGA